rnacentral:rRNA from 1 species
UACAGAGGUCUCAAGCGUUGUUCGGAUUCAUUGGGCGUAAAGGGUGCGUAGGUGGCGAGGUAAGUUGGAUGUGAAAUCCCGGGGCUCAACCCCGGAACUGCAUUCAAUACUGCCUUGCUGGAGUACUGGAGAGGAGAUUGGAAUUUACGGUGUAGCAGUGAAAUGCGUAGAUAUCGUAAGGAAGACCAGUGGCGAAGGCGGAUCUCUGGACAGUUACUGACACUGAGGCACGAAGGCCAGGGGAGCAAACCGGG